rnacentral:rRNA from 1 species
AACGGCCAUACCAUGCUGAAUAUACCGGUUCUCGUUAGAUCACCGAAGUCAAACAUCAUGGGGCGCGGUCAGUACUUGGGUGGGUGACCACCUGGAAACACCGCUUGCCGU